GAAGAAGUGUCAUUAGAGGCGACACCUUUUGAUGUCGAUGUUGCUUUUGCACUUUCAUCUUUUUCUACUUCCAUUUUUUCUUCUUCUUCGUCAUCAAAAGUGUCAU
rnacentral:ribozyme from 14 species